GUCAUUGAGAUAGUAAUCCUGCUCAGUACGAGUGGAACUGCAGGUUCGGACACUUGGUUCAUGUGCUUGGUCGAGAGACCAGUGGUGCGAAGCUACCGUCCGUGGGAUUACGUGAACGCCUCUUAGUCAGAAUCCCGUCUAAGCAGUGCAAUGAUAUCGUGCGCACUUGCAGCGUUUACAGGUGACGUUAGAGUUUCUCGGGUCGAUCGCGGCGGGCCGCCGCGAUUCCCGGCUCGACGACGCCACGUGGACGGGGGGGCAUUAGUCGUUCGCCGAGGUAACGGUGCGAGCGACGCUCCCAUGCACUCGUUUUUGGUGUGAACCGCUGCGGUGUCAAACCGUCUGUAGACGACUUAGGUUCCUGUCGUGGUGUUGUAAUUAGUAGAGCAGCCACCACACUGCGAUCUAUUGAGGCUCAUCCAGUGACCGGGAGGUUU
rnacentral:rRNA from 1 species